GGCAGUAUGGUGUAAAGCAGCACACGGGUCUAUCAUUCGAAUUGCGAAUCCCUGCAAUCCCGAGGUCCUUGUUCGAAUCAAGGUACUGCUC